CCUAAGGGACAGUCCAACGGAGCGAGAGACUUGGGCCGGGAUUGGGACUUGCCAGAGCCCAUUCUACUCACGCUGGGGGGCUCCAAAUCUUCUCUACCGAUUCUGUUUAUCAGCCAAACUUUAGGUGACCUUUGGACUGGUAAAGCAAGCGGCUUGCAGCCUGGGCUGGGUGGGGGUGGGGGACCUUUCCACUAGCGACAGGUUCGGCUUUAGUCCAGAAAGAAGAAACUGCGCUUCGGGGGUUCAGGUCCUCCUCAGCUCCGCCUGGUAGUUUGGAUUUGCCGGAUUCCUGACCAGGACCGCGCGUUGUUAACGUGCUAGAGGCCUGCGGGACCCUUGAAAGGAGACGCCGAUUCGUUUAUGGCCAGAGGGAGUAGCGAAAGUGGAGCUCUGCCGCUGCAGGGCUCACCAGCUACCUGCCCCGCCAAGCCAAGGGGGAGCAGGACACCUGGAGCUCGCCUUCUGCCUAAACCCGGAACCCAACAGCGCCUGAGCUCUGCACCCAAAACUAGGGCUACGGAGUCUCCUUUCUAGUAGUGAAUGUGUAGAUUGACCUGUGGCUGGACCGACUGUUGCAGCUCUGGAUUACCCAGGACCACUGUUUUGGUUCUUAAUUCUAGGAAGUCCGUUGUACCGGGAGUUAAGAAUCGCGCUCUAUAAACACAAGUUCACUGUGGUGGUGGCAGGAGUCUUGUAUGCCACCUAGAGCAGGCACCCCUAAAGCCACUGAAGAAAAAAAAAUGUUUUUUCCCCCACCCAGGUCUGGUCCGGAAGGAAGCUCUGAGCCUUUCGGCACAGCACGGCAGGAGUUUCUGCCACAUCUCCCCUGGGACCCGGAGAGGAAGCAAGGAGGCACAAGCCGCACCCAGACCUCCAGGCAGGGACCUGAGCUGCAGGGAAGGAAACUGCUUACACACACACACAUACACACACACACACACACACACACACACACACACGCACACGCACACGCACACGCACACGCACACGCACACGCACACGCACACGCACACGCACACGCACACGCACACGCACAGGCACACACAUUUCCCCAGGGUAGAGGCGGUUUUGAACCUCGGUUCUCUCAUUUGUGAAAUAUAUUCCUAAUAUCCAGGAUACAGAAAAGCUGUAGACACGGAAGAAGACCACCUGUGCAAAGCUGGCUAACACCUGUGUACACACUUCCCCUGUCUGCGAAGAUGGCAGGCCUGUUCCCAGUGGUUUGGAAGCUUAAGGUUCUCAGCAUCCGGGCAUUAGGGUUGGAAGAACUGGACAAAGAAAGACAAACGGUCAGAACCAUCAGCAGGGUAAAGGAACUUCUAAGUACAUUCUAAGUACAUUGUUUUACUGCAUGCACUUUCAGAUACAACCUGUUAGGAGGAAAUUGUGGUUGGGUCAGAGAGAGAGAGAGAGAGAGGGAGGGAAGGA